rnacentral:rRNA from 1 species
UGGGGAAUAUUGGGCAAUGGAGGAAACUCUGACCCAGCGACGCCGCGUGAGGGAUGAAGGCCUUCGGGUUGUAAACCUCUUUCAGUAGGGAAGAAGCGAAAGUGACGGUACCUACAGAAGAAGCACCGGCUAACUAUGUGCCAGCAGCCGCGGUAAUACAUAGGGUGCAAGCGUUGUCCGGAAUUAUUGGGCGUAAAGCGUGCGCAGGCGGUUCGGAAAGAGAGGUGUGAAAUCCCAGGGCUUAACCUUGGAACUGCACUUUUAACUCCCGAGCUAGAGUAUGUCAGAGGGGGGUGGAAUUCCGCGUGUAGCAGUGAAAUGCGUAGAUAUGCGGAGGAACACCGAUGGCGAAGGCAAUCCCCUGGACCUGUACUGACGCUCAUGCACGAAAGCGUGGGGAGCAAACAGG